rnacentral:tRNA from 1 species
GCCGGAAUAGCUCAAUUGUGAGAGUGUUAGACUGAAGUUGUUUACGCAACAGUCAUCUAAAGGCCCCCGGUUCAAUCCCGGGUUCCGGCA